GGCCAGGUAGCUCAGUCGGUACGAGCGUCCGCCUGAAAAGCGGAAGGUCGGCGGUUCGAUCCCGCCCCUGGCCACCG
rnacentral:tRNA from 30 species